rnacentral:rRNA from 1 species
AGUGAACGCUGGCGGUAGGCCUAACACAUGCAAGUCGAACGGCAGCACAGUAAGAGCUUGCUCUUACGGGUGGCGAGUGGCGGACGGGUGAGGAAUACAUCGGAAUCUACUUUUUCGUGGGGGAUAACGUAGGGAAACUUACGCUAAUACCGCAUACGACCUACGGGUGAAAGCAGGGGAUCUUCGGACCUUGCGCGAUUGAAUGAGCCGCUGUCGGAUUGGCUAGUUGGCGGGGUAAAGGCCCACCAAGGCGACGAUCCGUAGCUGGUCUGAGGGGAUGGUCAGCCACACUGGAACUGAGACACGGUCCAGGGUCCUACGGGAGGCAGCAGUGGGGAAUAUUGGACAAUGGGGGCGAGCCUGAUCCAGCCAUACCGCGUGGGAGAAGGAGGCCUUCGGGUUGUAAAGCCCUUUUGUUGGGAAAGAAAAGCAGCAGGUUAAUACCCCGCUGUUCUGACGGUACCCAAAGAAUAGGCACCGGCUAACUUCGUG